rnacentral:rRNA from 1 species
UACAGAGGUCUCAAGCGUUGUUCGGAUUCAUUGGGCGUAAAGGGUGCGUAGGCGGCGCGGUAAGUCGGGUGUGAAAUCUCGGAGCUUAACUCCGAAACUGCAUUCGAUACUGCCGUGCUUGAGGACUGGAGAGGAGAGUGGAAUUCCUGGUGUAGCGGUAGAAAUGCGCAGAUAUCAGGAAGAACACCCGUGGCGAAGGCGGCUCUCUGGGACGGUACUGACGCUGAGACGCGAAAGCGUGGGGAGCGAACAGG